AACGAACGCUGGCGGCAUGCCUAACACAUGCAAGUCGAACGAGACCUUCGGGUCUAGUGGCGCACGGGUGCGUAACGCGUGGGAACCUGCCCUUAGGUUCGGAAUAACUCCCCGAAAGGGGUGCUAAUACCGGAUAAUGUCUUCGGACCAAAGAUUUAUCGCCUUUGGAUGGGCCCGCGUUGGGUUAGCUAGUUGGUAGGGUAAAAGCCUACCAAGGCGACGAUCCAUAGCUGGUCUGAGAGGAUGAUCAGCCACACUGGGACUGAGACACGGCCCAGACUCCUACGGGAGGCAGCAGUGGGGAAUAUUGGACAAUGGGCGAAAGCCUGAUCCAGCAAUGCCGCGUGAGUGAUGAAGGCCUUAGGGUUGUAAAGCUCUUUUACCCGGGAUGAUAAUGACAGUACCGGGAGAAUAAGCUCCGGCUAACUCCGU
rnacentral:rRNA from 1 species